ACAUGCAUACAACAUAGUGUUAAUGCACUGAAUCCCAUUAUAACUCCGCAGUUAAGCAUGCUCGAGCUAUAGUAGUACUGGGAUGAGUGACCUCCUGGGAAGCCCUAGUGUUUUACAUGCC
rfam:Picea glauca, whole genome shotgun sequence.